UCCCCCAGUAACGGCGAGUGAAGCGGGAAGAGCUCAAGCUUAAAAUCUCCAUACUUGUAUGGCGAAUUGUAGUCUAUUGAGGCUGUUGUCAGCAUCGCGAUUGGGGACAAGUCCCUUGGAAAAGGGCAGCAUAGAGGGUGAUACUCCCGUCUCUGCUCCAAUCUGCGGUGUGUACGAUACGCUUUCUUUGAGUCGAGUUGUUUGGGAAUACAGCUCAAAGUAGGUGGUAAAUUCCAUCUAAAGCUAAAUAUUGGUGCGAGACCGAUAGCGAACAAGUACCGUGAGGGAAAGAUGAAAAGAACUUUGAAAAGAGAGUUAAAGAGUACCUGAAACUGUUGAAAGGGAACCGUAUCGUUUCCAGUGUUGUAUCCUAUGCAUAUUUCAUUCGUGGAGCAAUUUGCGGGUGCCCUGUGCAUGGGUGUGACGUCAGGGUCAGUUUGUAUGCUGCGGGAGAUGGUCAGUGAGGAGGUGCGUCACUUCGGUGAAAGUUAUAUCUCGCUGUCUAGUAGCCGUGGUUGAGACUGAGGUGCCUACAACAUGCCUUAAGGUUCCGUGUUGUCUCGUGUUGGUGACUGCUUUGAUAGCUUGCUAUGUUUGUGGUUUAUUAGUGCGAUUGAUGAUGCGGAUAACUUUUGCUGUUCGGGACUCUGGCGAAAUGGAGCGAUACGACCCGUCUUGAAACACGGACCAAGGAGUCUAACAUGUGUGCAAGUAUUAGGGCGUGGAAACCCAAAUGCGUAAUGAAAGUAAAUGCUGCUUAUGCAGCUGUGGUAGGAAAGGGCUGUCAAGGUCCUGGCACUAUCGACCGAUCAUGAGCCUACGGGCAAAAGAUUUGAGUAUGAGCAUAUAUGUUGGUACCCGAAAGAUGGUGAACUAUGCCUGAAUAGGGUGAAGCCAGGGGAAACUCUGGUGGAAGCUCGUAGCGAUUCUGACGUGCAAAUCGAUCGUCAAAUUUGGGUAUAGGGGCGAAAGACUAAUCGAACCAUCUAGUAGCUGGUUCCCUCCGAAAUUUCCCUCAGGAUAGCAGCAACUUUUUACGAUAGUUUUAUGAGGUAAAGCGAAUGAUUAGAGGCCUCGGGGAAGAAACUUCCUCGA
rnacentral:rRNA from 1 species